UGGAUCAUGAUAAGAUGAUG
rnacentral:snRNA from 1 species